GGGAAGGUAGCUCAGUGGUAGAGUGCUUGCCUCAUAUGCAUGAGGCUCUGCGUUCGAUUCCUCAGCACCCCA
rnacentral:tRNA from 1 species